rnacentral:rRNA from 1 species
AUGCAGGCCUUAACCCAUGAGCAGUUUGUUCUGACGACGGUGACGUUGUGGUCGAUAUGGCAUGCACGACGCAAGGCGAUACAUGAAUCAAUUUUUCAGAGCCCCCAGGAUACUAAGAGUUUCAUUGCCAGAUUUAUUAAUGAGCUCGGUAUUAUCAGGCAGGCGAGUGCAUGUAAGAGCUACCCCCGGGUAACGCAGCAGCCAAAGAAACCGCCCUUGGGUUUCUGCAAAAUUCACGUCGAUGGAGGUGUCCUAUCGGGACAGAGAGGAGCCGCAACAGCUGUUUGCAGAGACGGUGGAGGAAACUAUAUGGGUAGCGCUGCUCUUGUGAUCGAUGGAGUUCAUGAUCCAGCAACAAUCGAAGCAAUAGCUUGUCGAGAAGCACUCUCCCUCGCCGAAGACCUGGACAUACAUCAAUUUGUGGUGGCUUCUGAUUGUCAGCAGGUCGUCUCCGAUAUCUCUGGACAUGCACGGGGUGCAUAUGGUGCAAUUGUAACUGAAAUAAACCUUCGAGCUGCUACUUUUAAUUGUAACUUUUCUUUUGAGUCUCGUGCCGCUAAUCAUGAGGCACAUAGUUUAGCCAAGUUUGCGAUAACUAGAGGUCCGGGUCGCCACGUCUGGUUGGGUGUACCUCAUGACCAGACUUGUAUACCACUUUAUGUGGAUUUUGCUGAAUAA